rnacentral:lncRNA from 1 species
CCUUUCUGCAUUUUAUAUGUUCAAAAUGACUUAUUUUCUGUUUACGUAAAGCUCAGUGGCGUAUGUCCCUAUUAAGAAAAUAUUUCUUCAUCAAGUUUAAUUGAUUAUAUGUUGGAGUUAAGAACAAUUUAUUUCCUGUUCAACCCCCCUGCGUGCGCGCACACACACACACACACGCACACACACACACCCAUAAAUGCAUACAGAUGGAUUCACUUGAAGAGUUUGAAUAAUUCAUGACUAUUUAACCAUGCAGGUCCACCGCGGACUACAUUUUGUAAUCGUUUAAGCAGCUGUCUCCAGAGAGGUGUCGUUGAGGUAACGCUUUAAAAUCCGAGCUUAAGGCUGUCGUUUGUCUCACUUAUUUCCACCCGUGCGCAAGCAAGCGCUCUAGUGGUUGCAGACCUACAAGGCCUUGAUCAUAUUUUUAGGCUAAAGAUGUUGACUCUUCGAGGGCCUGCCGGGAGACGGACCAAAGCCGGAGGGAGACCUAAGCUGUAACGGUCCUUUGCGCGUUCGAAUCGUCCUUUACGUGAGGAUCGUCGCUCCGGAUCCAUCCGGGAGCCUCGCAACAGCCCGUCGUGUUCGUCGUCCCCGGUUCGGGACCAUCUUUCUUAGACCGAGCCUGGGCCCGUGUUACGGUGAAGGCAGAUCGAGCAGGAGCUCGACGUUCGAGCGUCUAACCCUACCCACGAAGGCGCCGAAAUCGCGGAGGAAAUCUUUGCUUUUGCGCUCCGUGGUAGCCAGCUCAUUUCAAGGUACAUUGCGCGGAGAGGGA